UUACCAAGGCUUGAAAUGCAAGUGAGCGGUGGAAACGCCGUGGCGAAAGGAGCUUGCACAGGUGGUGCAUUGGCUGUCGUCAGCUCGUGUCGUGAGAUGUUGGGUUAAGUCCCGCAACGAGCGCAACCCCUGUCCUAUGUUGCCAGCAUUAAGUUGGGGACUCAUGGGAGACUGCCGGCGUCAAGCCGGAGGAAGGUGGGGAUGACGUCAAGUCAUCAUGCCCCUUAUGUCUUGGGCUGCACACGUGCUACAAUGGCCGGUACAAUGGGCUGCGAUGGGGUGACCCGGAGCGAAUCCCACAAAACCGGCCCCAGUUCGGAUCGAAGGCUGCAACUCGCCUUCGUGAAGUCGGAGUUGCUAGUAAUCGCGGAUCAGCAUGCCGCGGUCGAAUACGUUCCCGGGCCUU
rnacentral:rRNA from 1 species